GAUGAACGCUGGCGGCGUGCCUAAUACAUGCAAGUCGAGCGAACGGACGAGAAGCUUGCUUCUCUGAUGUUAGCGGCGGACGGGUGAGUAACACGUGGAUAACCUACCUAUAAGACUGGUAUAACUUCGGGAAACCGUAGCUAAUACCGGAUAAUAUUUUGAACCGCAUGGUUCAAAAGUGAAAGACGGUCUUGCUGUCACUUAUAGAUGGAUCCGCGCUGCAUUAGCUAGUUGGUAAGGUAACGGCUUACCAGGGCAACGCUGCAUAGCCGACCUGAGAGGGGGUAGGGCCACUGUGGAACUGACAGACGGUACAGAGACCGACGGGAGGCAGCAGUAGGGAAUGUUCCGAAAUGGGCGAAAGCCUGAAGGAGCAACGCCGCGUGAGUGAUGAAGGUCUUCGGAUCGUAAAACGCUGUUAUUAGGGAAGAACAUAUGUGUAAGUAACUGUGCACAUCUUGACGGUACGUAAUCAGAAAGCCACGGCUAACUACGU
rnacentral:rRNA from 1 species